rnacentral:rRNA from 1 species
GGAAGUAAAAGUCGUAACAAGGUCUCCGUUGGUGGAACCAGCGGAGGGAUCAUUACCGAGUUUACAACUCCCAAACCCCAAUGUGAACGUUACCAAUCUGUUGCCUCGGCGGGAUUCUCUGCCCCGGGCGCGUCGCAGCCCCGGAUCCCAUGGCGCCCGCCGGAGGACCAACUCAAACUCUUUUUUCUCUCCGUCGCGGCUUCCGUCGCGGCUCUGUUUUACCUUUGCUCUGAGCCUUUCUCGGCGACCCUAGCGGGCGUCUCGAAAAUGAAUCAAAACUUUCAACAACGGAUCUCUUGGUUCUGGCAUCGAUGAAGAACGCAGCGAAAUGCGAUAAGUAAUGUGAAUUGCAGAAUUCAGUGAAUCAUCGAAUCUUUGAACGCACAUUGCGCCCGCCAGUAUUCUGGCGGGCAUGCCUGUCCGAGCGUCAUUUCAACCCUCGAACCCCUCCGGGGGGUCGGCGUUGGGGAUCGGCCCCUCACCGGGCCGCCCCCGAAAUACAGUGGCGGUCUCGCCGCAGCCUCUCCUGCGCAGUAGUUUGCACACUCGCACCGGGAGCGCGGCGCGGCCACAGCCGUAAAACACCCCAAACUCUGAAAUGUUGACCUCGGAUCAGGUAGGAAUACCCGCUGAACUUAAGCAUAUCAAUAAGCCGGAGGAAG